rnacentral:rRNA from 1 species
GGGCCCCCCCUCGUGUGGGGGAGGGGUGUUUAUAUAGUAAGACGAGGUAUCCACGUGUGGAGGGGAGAAACCCUUGGGUUCCCAAAACGGGAAAUAGGAUACCCGGGUAGUCAAAGGUUGGAAACCUCGCGCGGACUUGGUGUUUGGAGGCCCUUCGGGGGCAUUCAGUGCCGGAGAGAAGUUGUUAAGUCGGCUACUUGGGGAGUACGUCCGCAAGGAUGAAACUUAAAGGAAUUGGCGGGGGAGCACCGCAACGGGAGGAGCGUGCGGUUUAAUUGGAUUCAACACCGGAAAACUCACCAAGGGCGACUAUCACAUGAAAGCCAGGCUAACGACCUUGCUUGAUUCUUAGAGAGGUGGUGCAUGGCCGUCGUCAGUUCGUACCGUAAGGCGUUCUCUUAAGUGAGAUAACGAACGAGACCCUCAUCUAUAAUUGCUACUUCACCCUCCGGGGUGGAGGCACAUUAUCGAGACCGCUGGCGCUAAGUCAGAGGAAGGAGAGGUCAACGGUAGGUCAGUAUGCCCCGAAUCUCUUGGGCUACACGCGCGCUACAAAGGGCGGGACAAUGGGCUACGACGCCGAAAGGCGAAGUCAAUCUCGAAACCCGUCCGUAGUUCGGAUUGAGGCUUGUAACUCAGCCUCAUGAAGCUGGAUUCCGUAGUAAUCGCGAAUCAAAAACUCGCGGUGAAUAUGCCCCUGCUCCUGCACACCCGUAAUCUAGAGCACCGCGAGGCCCUCUCGAAUCACUGCAGUCGA